CGCGCAGGUGGUUUCUUAAGUCUGAUGUGAAAGCCCACGGCUCAACCGUGGAGGGUCAUUGGAAACUGGGAGACUUGAGUGCAGAAGAGGAUAGUGGAAUUCCAAGUGUAGCGGUGAAAUGCGUAGAGAUUUGGAGGAACACCAGUGGCGAAGGCGACUGUCUGGACUGUGUCUGACGCUGAGAUGCGAAAGCCAGGGUAGCGAAC
rnacentral:rRNA from 1 species